rnacentral:rRNA from 1 species
UACGUAGGGGGCAAGCGUUGUCCGGAUUUAUUGGGCGUAAAGAGCUCGUAGGUGGUUCGGUAAGUCAGGUGUGAAACCUCCAGGCUCAACCUGGAGACGCCACUUGAUACUGCUGUGACUGGAGUCCGGUAGGGGAGCGUGGAAUUCCUGGUGUAGCGGUGAAAUGCGCAGAUAUCAGGAGGAACACCUGCGGUGUAGACAGCUUUCUGGACCACUUCUGACGCUGAGACACGAAAGCGUGGGUAGCAAACAGG